rnacentral:rRNA from 1 species
AGAGUUUGAUCCUGGCUCAGGAUGAACGCUAGCUACAGGCUUAACACAUGCAAGUCGAGGGCAGCAUGAUUUGUAGCAAUACAGAUUGAUGGCGACCGGCGCACGGGUGAGUAACGCGUAUGCAACUUACCUAUCAGAGGGGGAUAGCCCGGCGAAAGUCGGAUUAAUACCCCAUAAAACAGGGGUCCCGCAUGGGAAUAUUUGUUAAAGAUUCAUCGCUGAUAGAUAGGCAUGCGUUCCAUUAGGCAGUUGGCGGGGUAACGGCCCACCAAACCGACGAUGGAUAGGGGUUCUGAGAGGAAGGUCCCCCACAUUGGUACUGAGACACGGACCAAACUCAUACGGGAGGCAGCA